AAUCACAGCGCCUUCUUGAAAUCAAUCACGGUAUAUGAAUGUUGUAGGUUAAUUUAUUUAAUAUUACUCUCAAAUUUGUUAUCAGAACCAACUCUAUCUUAAACCCAAUCUAUAUACCAAUUCCAGAUCUGAUACCACCAACCACCCAGUCUCACCCAUUCGCUUCCUUCGACGGUUUAUCUGAAAUCUCCAAACUACUCAUUUCUCUCUCCAAAGCCCCCGCCCCCCUCUUCUUCGAAAUCGCAACCAUCUUCUAUCCGGCGCCCACACAAGAACUCGUCACUGACGCAGAGCCCGCCAGAAGCUUUCUCUAGAGAACAACAUGUCGGUCGUCGUCCCCAUGGCCUCGCCCAGUCGCUGGCUCGACUUGGAUGACCAGCCAUUCCUCAAUUCCAGGAUUAGUGCAAGAGAAAGGGAUAUGUUGAUAACUAGGAGGCAAGCAUGCCUUCUCCAAGCAUGACCAAGCAUAGAACGAGCAGUGUGAAAAUUUUCGGGGUCGAAUUGUGCCCUGACAAUGUCGCUGUUGCCAUGGUAUUUUGUUCAAGGUGUCCUAGGCCUUGCAGGGCUUGCUGUCUGUUUUUAACUUUCCAUUUAAAAGACGAUUUGCAUCUCGACCUGGCUGAGGUACAUUUACAUUCACACUUUCUGUUAUUUUUUGGAACUGGUUUGCUUUACAUUUGUAGCUGUAGUUAUUAAAAGUGGCAUUCUUGAUGAAUUGUGAACUUAAAUUGACGUUGGUAUGCACUGAUUGGUAAAGAAUUUGCUUUGAGAAUGCUGAUUAGUAUGAAAAUGGUGCUAACCGGGGUACGAUAGUGGGAUUCUAGCUUUGAAUUACUGAUGUGAGACAUUGUUUUUCUUUGAUAAGUGAAUUGUUUGUAUAGUUUUGGUUUCUGACAAAUUUAUAUGUGAAGGAUCUCCCUCAAUUGGUCCCGCUCUCAUUUUCAAUUUUGAUGUCCUCGAAGACUCAACGAUGCUAUCUUUGAACCUAUUUUUGUUUGUUUUCCUAAUUUUUUGGCAUUUUGUAGGCGAACUGCUAUUAUAGUGACUAAUAGAAGUAGAAAGAAGGAACAAGGGGUUGAAAUUUGGCUAAUUCUGCCAAUAUAGAUGUUUUGCAAGUGGCUGGGUUUUGCUAGUUUAAAGGUCUAAUGCUUCUUUUUCUUUUACUAUUGCUUUUGUUAAUUCAGGGUUAUUAAACAUAUUACAAUUUGCAAGUUACUCUUGAAUUAUUAAGCUUUCAUUUAAAAAUAAAUAAACCAAGGAAGGAAAAACAAUGAAUUGAGGUAUAUUUGAUAUGUAUGCUAUUUUGCACUAUAGUGAAUCGUAUAGAUCAAUUAAAUUCUAGGCGGCGAAUCUUCACCAUUGAUGAAAUUGUGAUUCUAUGUUUAACUUCUACAGGACUCCUCUUAUUAUAAUUUGUCAAGAGUUCAAUUGCAAAGGAAUGCAUGAGUAGAAAGGUUUAGAGGCAGAAACUCUAUUCACUUUUCUUGAUUGAGAUCAAAUGUAUAUUUCCACCUAUACGAGUACCAAGAUUUUUUUUCUUGUGAUCCAUAUGCUUUUGUCCAUGCAAAUAGAGAGUCAGCAAUUGUUGAGGCUCAAGUAUUAGGGGCAAUAGUUCACUCUCAAGGUCCUUUGUUUGGAGAUGUUCAAAGAAAUCUGAAGUCUUCAAGUGUUCUUGUUAUUGGAGGCAUAUUUGAUACUUUGUGGAUAGUUUGGUAUUUCUAGUAUAACUCAUCGUUAGCUUUAGUGUGCAGUUUGUAAUAUUUGAUUUUGCAAUUUGUUUAUGUAAUUAUUAUAUUGUAGUAAAUUUGUUUAUAUAUUAAAUGAUUUAUUAUUAUUAUUUUUUUA